rnacentral:tRNA from 1 species
GCCCGUCUAGCUCAGUCGGUAGAGCGCGUGCCUUUUAAGCACGUGGUCAUGGGUUCAAGUCCCAUGGUGGGCA